rnacentral:lncRNA from 1 species
CCUCCGCCUGGGGCAAAGAGCGGCGACCCGGCACCCCAGGCGCCCCCGCGCAGGGAGCGCGGGAGGAAGGGAAGAGCCAGUGUAGAGGAGAGGCCUCAGAGCAAAGCACCUGGGAGAAACGGCUACUGGAGGAGCCUUCCAAGGUCAUCAAGGAAAAAUGCUUCUCGGUGACAUAUGCUCCCUUAUAAUCCAGGUAUGUUUUUGGAGAACUUUUCAACUGGUUUUGUUUGUUCUUGGAGGUAG